CCUCCCCAAUAAAUACACACAUAGACAUUCAGGUCAUGAGCUAAAAUAUUGUAAGAUGAACUUGCUUUGUACUUGUUAGUACAGAUCUGCAAGCUUGUUGAGCUCAGACCUUUUGAAUUCCAUGCCUAACUUGGAAAUACUAAGAGAGGUUCAGAUUUGCAGGACUGUUUUGCUAGAGGAACUGCCUAGCUUGAUCCCAGCUACAUGUGGACUAUUUGCUUUCCAUAGGCAGGAACUAAAAUCCUAAAUUGUACAUUUAAUUUCAUUAAAGAACAGAUAAGAAACCACACACACACACGCACAAAAAUGCAAAAUAUAAGGUAUUGAACUACUUUUCUUGAUUUUUGCUGCAUCUGAUAGAGAUCAGGCAUACGAGUGUGCUGGUGAGUUCCAUCCACAGAACCUGAAGAGGCUUUGGAGAAGCUGAAGGGAAAAAAAGUUGUAACUCUGCCGGAAGUGGAGCUCUGCUUUGUCCCCGUGACCUCUGUCAUCUGCUCUACUGCUCUCCAAGCAACACCAUAAUGCUUUCUGCACUUUCUUUCUAUUACCUCCUUUCCUUGAAUUACUGUGCAGCAGUUGCCUUCUUUUUCCUGACUAGUGUAUCACUAAAUAGCAGUAAGCUUGUUUAUAAGAUUUACAAGGAUCUUCCUUCAAAAAGACACCGGUCUUCAUGUACAGAUCAUUCUCCUCCUCAGGCAGCCAUGGCAAACUGCUCAGUGGCAGAGUACUGGCCUGGAGCCACCAGAAAGGGACCUGGACUGUUAACAAUUAUAGCCACAAAGACCAAGAUAUUUCGCCAUCUCUGCCUUAGGGUAUGACGGUCAACUUCUGUUGACAUCAGCAGAAAAACUCUUCCUUUUGAAAGAACCGCUGAACAGAGCCAUUACUCAGAAGAAGUCAUGCGUUGACUCACCAACACCUCUUCUUAUGUUUUCCUUGGAGAUUCGAACUGUUAGACCUUCUGAAAGAAGAUCACAUAUUGAAAUGAUGGAAGAAGACAG
ensembl:lncRNA